CUUGACUUUUUAGAAUGAUGCCUUUUCCUUUAGAUGCCUGCUUAGGAUGCACUCUUCCAUUAUAGCUUCCAUAACAAUUGACUAAAAUAGAAAAUUAUAUUUUAAUGUUUGAGAUCAGGCCUCAUCUGGCAUGCUCAUUUAUUGCAAAUCUUUACAGUGCUAUCUAUCUUACAGUAAAUUUUUAGGCUGUUAACCUGCACAUGCUUAACUUUGCAACUGUGGGUAGCCCUGUGUAAAUUCAGUGUUCUUUCAUGGAUUUUGAAGGUAAGUAUAAAGAGAUCUGGCCCUCAGGGUAUGGGAUUGCCUGACUGUUUAUGUAGCAAGAGUUAGCACAAGAAAGAGUCAGUUAUGCUACAAAGCAUAGUAAAAUUCCCCCCAAAACUCAGUAUAGCCAUACUCUGGUUUUGACUGUAGAUCUUCAUACUUCAUGAGCUUUUUCAUAUUGUUUUAUCCCAAUAUUGCAAGUUAAUAAAUGACAUUGAUAGCAUAAACUUUUCGAGAAAUGAAUACACUCUUCUGUAACUAUAUUAGGGUAUAGACUUCAUAAAAAUGUAUCUUGUUUACCUUGAAUGACCAAAAGAAAAACAAAUUAGCAACCAAAAAAGAAGAAAAAACCCCCCAUGACGUCUCUGAGCCAUUCUUACUUCUUCAGAUCAAUUACACUGCAAGUAAGUAGGCUCAUUAAAUUAUAACCAAUACACUAGAAAUGUUCCUCCCUUAAACUAUCCAUAGUUUUAGAGAAGGCAAGACUUGCCAAAUGUAUAUUAAUUAAUGUGGAAAGUACAACAGUGUUCAGAAAUACAACUGUUCAAAAAUGCUUGUCCACUUGCUAAAAAAAGAGGGUACAUAUUCACUACGAACCCAGGGAUUCUAGUAGCGAGGGCUUUGCUUUUGAGCCAUCCUACUUCAAAAUGGUUCUUCUGUGGCUUCAUCAGAUCCCUUUACUGCUUCCACAAGGCUACAAGACAUGGAUGCGGUUUAAUUGGUUCAUAUGUAAAAGCAAACCUGCCAGACAUCCCUAGGACUUUUAAUUUUGAAAGACAAUCUUUUGUAAAACCUUUUGUCUCUAGCUGUGCUUUUUUAGGACAGACUAAUCCUGAGUUUCAGUGCAGUGUUCUUGCACCCGAACACAGGCGGUUGCAAUAUCGGUUAUGAGCAGAAUUGGAGUGUUGUAGGAAAUAUUUGUAAAACACCUAACUGACCAAGCACAAGAGAGUAGCUACAUAUCCUGUGGCCCAACUCUAACUGUUUUUCUAAUAUUAGGGCCAGGAGCAGUUGAUGUACCACACCCAGAGGAGUAAACAGGAAAGGCUGCAUCUACCACUUUGUUCUGCAGCUCUGCGUGACAAGGGGAGACGCAGGAUACGUCCAGGCGGAUCCAUGCAGGCAGACACGAGCUCUUCAGUGCUGUGCUCAGAGCUGACCCAGACAGCAGAACAGUUGGACGAGUGCACCGCGGCAGCUUCUGCUCUCAACUACCUCGUGUCCAGCUAACCUGGGGGAAAGGCAGAGAGCUUAAACUCUGCCUGCACCUCUCUGCAUAGAUGUCCGUUCAGACGGACCUCUGUCUUUCUUUCUUUUCCCUCUUUUUUCUUUCUUUCUUUCCUUUCUUUUGUUCUUUCUUUCCUUCUUUCCUUUCUUUCCUGCCCCAGCUGAUCUCCAGUGUUACAAAUUUGCUGCAAUUUAGAGCUGAGUAUUCAAAGGUGGCAUGAGCUAUAGAUUCCAAAUGAUGCACUUGGGCACAGAAGCAGCAUUUUCUAAUCUAAGGGGCUGUAUCCUCUGAUAGAAGUGGAGUGAAGAGAGCCCUCUAGCACUUGCAAAGAGAGGGAAGAGGAGGGAAGGUACCUUGUGGGGGGAGGUCCAGCAAGGGAAGAUAGGGAACACAGUGGUAAGUCACUGGCAAGGAGGAUGAGAGAGGGAUUAUAGGAAAGGUCCCAGGUCACCCACAGCCAGGGCAGGGAAGAGUGGGAUCACUCGAAGGAAGGAGAUGAACUAGGGCAGGGGCAGCCUGGGAGAUGCUCUUUAUAUCUUUUAUUUGAAAGAUGCUUCUAAAACCUGAUCUCUCCUUUUUACUGCGCCACUGAUCAUUCUUCCAUCUAGAGCUCUCCUUGUAGGUGUUGCAUUCCCAUGCUUCUCCAUGGGAAGCUUGUCCCAUGUGCAAACUACUCCUGGUGCACAUCUACGUGACAGUCUGCUGAGCGACACUGGAAAUCCUGUAGGUAGCACCAAAGAGCUGGUCUGUCACCACAGCCCAGCCCAGUGCUGGUCACAGAUGGUAGUUUGGACUCCAGGAGGGUAACUUAGCCAUUAGCCUUCCCCUGAGCCUGCCAGCUCAGGCAUGGGCAGCUGUACCACCUCGAUUUGCAAGCUAGCGGGUCUGGCUCCUGCAUGGGAUCUCUGAACUUAACUGUAUUGUGCAGCCUGGUUGUCUGCACAGAAAACUGAAAUAACUUCUGAACCAUGUAAUCAAAUCCUGCAUUUCACCAGCUUAUUUCCUAUUAGUCACUGUCAUCACACCUGAAGUUGUUCCAAAGUCAGUCAGGAAUAAUCUCCUGAUUGCUAGACCUACGCUGAGUUUAUCUGCUCUCCAUCACUCUUUCAGAGCAUCUGAAUGCCCAGCAAUUGCCUGUAUCUCACAAGACUGCUGUAAGUUAAGAAAAUCUUUCCUUUGUACUACUAACAAAGAAUGUCUGCAGGUUUGCAUGGCAAAUGUAGCAAGGAUACCUCAACAGCAAAUCUAUAAAGGACUUUAAGCAUGUUGAGUCGCAAAGAAUAGAAGCCAUUUCUUUUCUCACACUGCUGUAAAUGAAGAAUAACUUCGGUGAAGCUGCUGUGGCACCAGCGAAGGCCAGUGAGUGAGGAAGCAAGGCACCAGUACUCGGUGAGGAGGUCGUCAGCCAGCCCUGUUCCCUCCUGAAGUCUGCAAGCAGGAAACAAAGCUUGAAGAGGAGUCUGGGAAGAGCAUCUUGCUCUACGCUGCAAGAGGCUCCAAGGGGAGAGCAGCUCCUGGGGACAUGCCAUAAACCAUCUCGUGCUCUGUCUUUGUUGUGGCCCGGGUCAAGCUGUCUAAUCCAUGUGGGAUCUCUUGUGUUCAUCUCUGCAGCUCUGCCUUCUACAUGAGAGGGGGGCAAUAAAUUACCACUGUGGUACCUUCCCCUGCUUGCUGACUGCUGACCGUGAACCGGCUGGUGAUUUUUGGGCUAGCGGUGACAUUGAGACUCCAGCUGUGCUCCAUGUUAUUUUUCCUGUGCAGUCUCCUGUUUGUGGCUUCAGGGGCUCUGACAGUCAGAGGCUGUCCUUGCUAUAGCAGGGCUUUACCAGAAAACCAGACGACCUUCUUCUGUGCUGCCAGGAAACAACGCCCGAUCCAAACUAACACCACUCGGGUCUCUCUGGUUUCUUUUCUCUGAAAGCGAUAUCCCAAGUAUCUGCCAUGAGCUUGUGGGGGUGGGAGAAGGGAAAGGAGGUUCCCACAUGAUGGUGUAGCGGCUGCGCAGCCAGGCUGCGGCUGGCACGUCUCCGAGCUGUGCCACCCAGCCUGUCCCUGCCGCCUGCUCUGCUCCACCACCCUGCGCCAGGCGCAGCUGCCCAGCUCCGGACAAACCCGACCGUGUGAGAGGUGACGAAGGGUAGAGAGGCCAUGGCACGCUGCUGCGGGCGAGGGAGAUGUGGCUCUGGCUGCUGGGGAAUACGAGCCAGCUGCGUCUUUCUCUGUCUUUGCGUGUGAGAUCUGAGAGUUGGAGGUUGCUAUCCCGUGGCAGGCCAGGCUGCUGUGACAGCGGCUUUUGCAUAACGAGCGAUGCAGUGAAAGUACAGCCCUUCUCAAACUGAUGCUGAAUGAAGAGCUUUGUUACAUGCAGGUUACAAGCUUUAUGACAUGGUGCGUGUUCCUGCAGAAAACGCCUGCCACGAUACUUUCUGCAAUUACAAUGACAUUGUAGCUGUAUUUUGUCUGGGAAAAUCAGUCAUGAAUAGAAUUUAUUGUUGGUAUACCUCCACUGUCUGUGCUAACAGCAGAAGCCAUAGCGUAUUGCAGCUGAUUUGUUUGUGUUUUAUAUUGAGUUCAUGAAUUAACUAGAGGACAAGGUGGACCAUUUGCUGUGUUAAAAUGUAACUAGAAAAUGGCAUAAGGGCAUACUAUUUGCCUUAAAGGGAACUUAUUUAGGUCAAAACUGCAUGCGAAGCAUGAGACUGCAGUAGCAGCAUUGAAAGCCCUCUUUGUCAAUAGGUUAUCUCAUAACUGAACACUUCUUAAAUUGUUUUCCAAGUCUAAAGGCAAAAUUUUUGAGAGGCAAAUUAGCUGAAGGACACACAGAAGAGUGAACGUGCUGUGAUUUUUUACUUAAUUGUUAUUUCUUCAGACAGAAAAUAUGCAUUUUGCUUUGCAUUAAUGGCUUCAUUGUAAUGAUUAAUGUCUCUGUGCCUUUCUGUGAUUAUUUUUCACUUAAAAGUGUGGAUGCCAGUAACAGGUUGUUAAGAGAAACAAGUGAUGGAACAUUAGCCGACUCACCAAGCACUAUGAAAUUUUUGUCAAUUAUAAUCUAUGCUUUUGUAAUAGCCCCUUCUGCCUGACAUGCAUUACCCUCCCUGUCCAUGAGAAUACGGUCAACUUUCAGGAUAAACUGCAGGAUCUAUCUUUUAACUCAUGUCUGUGGGAGAAGACAAUCACAGGUCCCUCUUUUUUUUUUUACUUUUUCUGCAUGUGACCUCCAGGAUCACGUAGAUCUUCAUCUGGCAGCAUUUCUUGGUUCAGGCUUUCAAGUGUGCUGAUGAUAUAUCUGGCCUUUAGGAACCAUUGCCCUGCAAUACAAGCUUCUGAUAAUCAUGAAGUGCCUCUCAGUCUGAACUAAUGUACCCUCACAAGAACUUUAAAGCAUGCAAGGACCGUCAAUGCCAUUGCACAAGGCACACUGGACUGUACAGAAAGUGGCUCUGGCACCCAAGGUGGGUUAAAGCUCCCCGUAAGUACCGGGUUCAGCAGAGUAAGUCGGUGUGGCUGACCCUGCAAAGUGCCGAAGGAUGCCUGCAGUUCAGAGGUGGCAGGCAGACACCUGAGCACCCCACGUUCCCUAAAGGUGUGCUCAUGCCCACAGGGUGUUCAGCUCACACCUGUUACACCUAUAAACUCACACUUAUUUUGCAGAAAUAAGAGGCAUGGAUUUCCCUGCCUUCUCCCUCAGCUUGUGGGGGUUCACUUCUUUAGUGUCUUGGAGACGACAUGUUGGAGAUUACAAUAUUGGGGGAGACUGGGUUUGGACACAGCCACUGUGUCCUUUCUGAUGAGAGAGGGAUGUAUGGAGAGAGAAAUGCAAGUUUUACAGGUCAAGGAAGAAGAGAAAAUUGUCCAAAGGGAAAAAAAAAAAAGCAGCUGUGUUUGCAGUAAGAGGCGUGGCUGGUAAGGCAGACUAUUGUGUUCUGGAACAGUGGGUGUUUCCAGUGUCUUCCUGCCAUGGUCCACCUUAGAAAAACUUAGAAAAACUGAGGCUGACACAUCAACAAAGGUCAAACGGUGUCUGCUGGAGUGUUGGAGAAGGGAGUAUUUGUUGUGAUGAGACAUUAGCAUCGCAAGUAUUGAGCUGGUCAGUUAUCAAUGGGCACCUUCAGGCACAGGAAUUAGCACAAAUUGUUGACAGUAUUUUCCUUUGCUUGUCAGCAUAACAUCCCUCUUGUUCUAGUUCAGCUGUAAGACAGCUGUUCUUCCAUAAGCUAGUUUGAAGAUAUUAUUCUGUUUUCAUGAGACUCGCAUAGUUAAAUAUGGCAAUAGUUCGGUAAAGCCUUACAUCAUCUUCACAUGGCUGGUAGCAUUUCCUCUGACCAGUAUCUUGUACCUGACUGAAGAUACAGAAAAGGUGCAGCAACAUCUUAGGACUCUCCAGGUGAAGAACCCAGCUGUCAAGGGGUUGUUCACUCUCUGUUCCGCAGAGCCUUCUCAAGACGACUGUCAUGGUUUUAGGUCUUUGCCACUUUAAGUUGGGCUGCAAGAUUCAGUUUCUGAGAUAGUCUUGCCCUUCUUUGAAACAAUAUAUUUUAAAAUGAGAAAAUACCAUGACAAUCUAGUGUCCCUAAAGGAACAAAGAUCUCUCCAUAACACUCCACCCUUAAACACAAUCAUCAAUUAUUCACCCGCCAAUAACUUCAACUAACAACCCGUUCAGUGUUCCACACAUUGAGAAGACAGGCACAGAUCUUCAUUUCGGAUUAGCAGAAUGAAAGGUGCAUGUUUUGUGCAGGUGAGGAGGCACAGAUGAAUGGUGUGGAGAGGAUAAAGUAGUUUUAAAAAGAUUUGUAAAAGAGAUAACAGGUCUUGGUUAACCAGGACAGAGGUGAUGAGCUAGUAAAUUUUUUUUUGGCUUUACAGAACAUAAAUUAAACUGAUAGCAAUUUUAACUGAAGUAACCCUAACCUACUAUCUUCUAGGACUGCAAGCAAAGAGCGGGUAAUCUGAUUUCUCCUGGGCCGGGCUGCAUCUCAGCACCAAAGCUGCUGUGAAGAGAACUGUUCGCUCUUCUGCGGGCCAUUGGCAUUCACAAGGAUCACCUUCAGGUUGAUUACCUUAUUCCUUGAAAUGCCCCAAAGAACCGCCGGGAGGAAAGGCUCCAAAAACCGGCGUGAGACCCCCAAACAUCCUCCUCGAUGGGGUGACCCCAGCCUUCCUGCCUUGGGUCCCGACCUGCCUGACUUUUAAGGUGGUGCUCAACCAGUAAGGGGAACAUUUACAGUGUCGCUGCUCCCAGAGGAGUCAUAAGGGGGAAUCUUGUCUCUUUGCGCUUCACGUUAAAGCAAAAACUAUAGAGAACAUUGUGAGAUGUGUCCUGGUUUCAGCUGGGAUAGAGUUAAUUGUCUUCCU